CCGGGUACAUAGGCGGGCUCCGCGCCACCCAGCGGCUCUCAGCUGACCUAUCCUCUUAUCUGUGCUUAUGAAGUAGAGGACGCACGGGGCCAGAGUGGACGGUUGCACAAGACCUCAUGAAUAUUGAGUGUUUUCGUGUCGUAAGGAAAUUCAGUGCAUCCUGAACAUAUAUCAUCUUGUGGUCAGAAAGGUAUAAGCCUCAGAGCAAGAACCAACAUGCUGAAGAUGAUAGAGUGGAAAAUGGAAAACACCGGAGCCCUUAAUGACACCACUGAGAAGAACACACAGCGCAUUCCUGGAGGAUAACUGUUAUGGGAAAUGAAUAUGCACACGAGCAGCAGCAGAAAGCGAGGCGGUCAGCACGGCCUUAGCCUGGCUCUUCCUUCCACGCAGACAGAAGCGCCCGCAGAGAGUGGUGGACACGGCGCAUGUGCUGGUGCUGCCCACGUUUAUGACUCCU